GACGGAAGGUGCAAGCGUUGCUCGGAAUCACUGGGCGUAAAGGGUGCGUAGGCGGCUUGGUAAGUCGGGUGUGAAAUCCCCGGGCUCAACCUGGGAAUUGCAUUCGAUACUGGAUAGCUAGAGUUCGGCAGAGGGAAGCGGAAUUUCCGGUGUAGCGGUGAAAUGCGUAGAUAUCGGAAGGAACAUCAGUGGCGAAAGCGGCUUCCUGGGCCAGAACUGACGAUGAGGCUCGAAAGCGUGGGGAGCGAACAGG
rnacentral:rRNA from 1 species